rnacentral:rRNA from 1 species
UACGUAGGGUGCGAGCGUUGUCCGGAAUUACUGGGCGUAAAGAGCUCGUAGGCGGUUUGUCGCGUCUGCCGUGAAAGUCCGGGGCUCAACUCCGGAUCUGCGGUGGGUACGGGCAGACUAGAGUGAUGUAGGGGAGACUGGAAUUCCUGGUGUAGCGGUGAAAUGCGUAGAUAUCUGGAGGAACACCGGUGGCGAAGGCGGCAUCCUGGACCAACGCUGACGCUGAGG